GGAUUCACUGGUUUGACUAUUGUUCAUUUCUUCCGUUCUUAUAUUCAUUUUACACAUUUAUUCCAAAAAACCCUAGCAGUCGACUCUCCGGAAACUUCUCCCUCCUCUUGCGUCACGUCCUUUGUUUCUGCCCUAACUUGCUGGCUAAUCCAGCGAUAAAGUAGACGGCGGAUGCUAGAUCUUUUUCCGUCAUAUAUGCAGUUAUGAAUAAUUCAUGGAAAGUAAUAGGAAUUAGACUAGACAGAGUCUUCAACCGGUUCAAAUUGAGUUCUUUGGUUAUGGGUUUGGGUUCGGUGGAUCUAUGCAACUCCCAAUUGCAGCUGCCACAUUUUUGCGGUGGUUUUGGUAGGAUUUAUGAAAAUGGUGGUUUAGACAUCUGAGGAGAUUGUGUGACUGACGGCAGAAAGUCAAAGCUGUGUUCGUGGUGGCUGAAGCUGUCUAUUUUGUGUUUGUUUUCUUGGUUCUAUUUCUUCUUCCUUUUUCAAUUUUGUAGAAAAAUGAUUAAUAAUGAAGGCCUCGAAUUUUUUUUUUUAAAUUUUCUUUUAAGGAACAAUUUCCUGGAAGCAAGUUUAGUUGUAUGUUAAUUUUUGGUAUUUAAUGGUACACUCUUUCUUCGCUAAUGAAAAAACCAUUAAGUUUUUAAAGGUGAGACAACCAAUUUAAUUUUUAUUUAAUCAUUAUUAAUGGAAGUAAAGAGAAAGAUGUAUAACUUAAGUGUUCUAAGUUCAUUGUUACAGCUGUAAAAUAGAACAUCGAGCCUCGCGUUCAUAGUAUCUGGGUUUUUUACUUAUCAUGCAGGGGAUUUGAUGCCUUAAUUUCUCAAUGCAAAGGAUCUUUCUUCUCUGGAUUUUUCUUUUUUCUUUUCUUCCAACAUCUUAAUAUGCACUAAUUCAUUGGCUUUGUUGUUCUCUUUUAUUCUAUGAGUCCAGCAACCCAAUCUUUUGUUUGUACUUUAUGGUUUAUGUUUCUCUUUAUAAGGCAAAUUUAUCUUAUGCAAGUAAGUUGUACAUCUGCUUGGUAUGAAGCUGUUGUGUUUAUUGAAGUCUAAAUCAGGAAAAAACUUCAUUGGAUGUAUUUAUUUCAAAUAUUUGUAAGAUGCUAUUCUUAUCUUGUGAUUUUCUUAAAUACAAUUUUAUAUCACUUGACUUCUUCCCAGGUUUCAGUUCUUGAGUGGAUAAUUAUUUUUAUGCCUUUGUUUGUCUUAUAAUUUUAAUGCUUAGUAUAUAGGAAUAGGCCACUUCUUGGCAAGUUCGGAAGCUUGGUGAGAAGGAAACUAAUGAUAAUGGUCUUUUAAUUAAAUAGGCCCAAGAGAAAGUAAAGAAAAUUUGUGAAGCAAAUGUAGAUCCUUUGAAAUUAAAGGUGCUACAAAUGGCAACAAUGCCAGUUCAAGCGUUUCUUCAAGCCCUAAUCAACAUUUUGCUAAUGGGGGCUAUCUAGAGUGAUCUCAUGACUGUUUGAAAAUUAACACAUCCUUUUCACCUGUAGGCAUUCACUUGCUGCGAUUACCAGUGGUAGCUGUACUUAAACUAAGCCAUAGUUACAUUGGCAGUUUUUGUAGGAUCCAUCAAUUUUUGGGUGUGUUCGACAUCGGUGGAAAAUUUAUGUCCACUCUCUCUCAGUUUGAUGUAUUGUAUGAAAAUAAUAUAAUCGCGGCUGAUUAUUUAAAUUAGUUAUUUUGAAUGUGAAGUCAACUGGUACCCAUUCUCAAACGCAGUUAAACAUUCGCUAUGAAUUUUCUCUUCGAGUAUAUUUCUGUGAGUUCAUUUUAUAUUUGAAAUUGCUUAUUUGUUAUGACUUCUCUCCAGGAUUUCGAGCCUUGAAGCGUGGCUGAAUACAAACAUUAGUGCCUG
rnacentral:lncRNA from 1 species